rnacentral:rRNA from 1 species
UACCAGCACCCCGAGUGGUCGGGACGAUUAUUGGGCCUAAAGCAUCCGUAGCCGGUCCUACAAGUCUUCCGUUAAAUCCACCUGCUUAACAGAUGGGCUGCGGAAGAUACUAUAGGGCUAGGAGGCGGGAGAGGCAAGCGGUACUCAGUGGGUAGGGGUAAAAUCCUCUGAUCCAUUGAAGAUCACCAGUGGCGAAGGCGGCUUGCCAGAACGCGCUCGACGGUGAGGGAUGAAAGCUGGGGGAGCAAACCGG